rnacentral:rRNA from 1 species
ACGCUCGACACCUACGGGGGGCAGCAGUGGGGGAAUAUUGCACAAUGGGGGGAAACCCUGAUGCAGCGACGCCGCGUGGAGGAAGAAGGUCUUCGGAUUGUAAACUCCUGUUGUUGGGGAAAAAGAGGAUGGUACCCAACAAGGAAGUGACGGCUAACUACGUGCCAGCAGCCGGACGGUAAUCUGAGGCGGGCUCGGACGAACGGGCC